rnacentral:rRNA from 1 species
GUGCCAGCAGCCGCGGUAAUACGGGGGGAGCGAGCGUUGUCCGGAAUCACUGGGCGUAAAGGGUGUGUAGGUGGCUGAGCAAGUCGAAGAUGAAAUCCCAGGGCUCAACCCUGGAAUUGUCUUUGAUACUGUUCAGCUUGAGGGUGGUCGAGGAAGACGGAAUUCCCGGUGGAGCGGUGAAAUGCGUAGAUAUCGGGAGGAACACCGGAGGCGAAGGCGGUCUUCUGGGCCACUCCUGACACUGAGGCACGAAAGCUAGGGGAGCGAACGGGAUUAGAUACCCCGGUAGUCCUAGCCGUAAACGAUGGGCACUAGAUGUUCCCACAUUUUGUGGGAGUGUCGAAGCUAACGCGUUAAGUGCCCCGCCUGGGGAGUACGGCCGCAAGGCUGAAACUUAAAGGAAUUGACGGGG